GUAGGUGGCAAGCGUUGCCCGGAAUUAUUGGGCGUAAAGCGCGCGCAGGCGGUCCUUUAAGUCUGAUGUGAAAGCCCACGGCUCAACCGUGGAGGGUCAUUGGAAACUGGGGGACUUGAGUACAGAAGAGGAAAGCGGAAUUCCAAGUGUAGCGGUGAAAUGCGUAGAGAUUUGGAGGAACACCAGUGGCGAAGGCGGCUUUCUGGUCUGUAACUGACGCUGAGGCGCGAAAGCGUGGGGAGCAAACAGGGAUUAGAUACCCUGGUAGUCCACGCCGUAAACGAUGAGUGCUAAGUGUUAGGGGGUUUCCCGCCCCCUUAGUGCUGCAGCUAACGCAUUAAGCACUCCGCCUGGGGAGUACGGCCGCAAGGCUG
rnacentral:rRNA from 1 species